rnacentral:rRNA from 1 species
UACAGAGGUCUCAAGCGUUGUUCGGAUUCAUUGGGCGUAAAGGGUGCGUAGGCGGCGCGGUAAGUCGGGUGUGAAAUCUUGGAGCUUAACUCCGAAACUGCAUUCGAUACUGCCGUGCUUGAGGACUGGAGAGGAGACUGGAAUUUACGGUGUAGCGGUGAAAUGCGUAGAUAUCGUGAGGAAGACCAGUUGCGAAGGCGGAUCUCUGGGCAGUUCCUGACACUGAGGCACGAAGGCCAGGGGAGCAAACGGG